rnacentral:rRNA from 1 species
GUUGGCGACCAGAAAGAAGGGGAAACACCUGAACCCAUUCCGAACUCAGAAGUUAAGCCCUUCGUUGUGCUGGUUUGUACUGUGCGAAGAGCACGGGAACUCCAGUAAGUCGCCAACC